CACGUAGUUAGCCGUGGCUUUCUGAUUAGGUACCGUCAAGACGUGCACAGUUACUUACACAUUUGUUCUUCCCUAAUAACAGAGUUUUACGAUCCGAAGACCUUCAUCACUCACGCGGCGUCGCUCCGUCAGGCUUUCGCCCAUUGCGGAAGAUUCCCUACUGCUGCCUCCCGUAGGAGUCUGGACCGUGUCUCAGUUCCAGUGUGGCCGAUCACCCUCUCAGGUCGGCUACGUAUCGUUGCCUUGGUAAGCCAUUACCCCACCAACUAGCUAAUACGGCGCGGGUCCAUCUAUAAGUGAUAGUAAAACCAUCUUUCACUUUAGAACCAUGCGGUUCUAAAUAUUAUCCGGCAUUAGCCCCGGUUUCCCGGAGUUAUUCCAGUCUUAUAGGUAGGUUACCCACGUGUUACUCACCCGUCCGCCGCUAACGUCAAAGGAGCAAGCUCCUUAUCUGUUCGCUCGACUUGCAUGUAUUAGGCACGCCGCCAGCGUUCAUCCUGAGCCAGGAUCAAACUCU
rnacentral:rRNA from 1 species